rnacentral:rRNA from 1 species
UAUCUCUGUAGAGUCUGCAUAUCAAUAAGCGGAGGAAAAGAAACUAACAAGGAUUCCCUUAGUAACGGCGAGUGAAGCGGGAAGAGCUCAAAUUUGAAAUCUUCAAGGUUCUACCUUGACGAAUUGUAGUUUAAAGAAGUGUUUUCUGUUAGAUGAGUAGCAAAAGUUCCUUGGAAUGGGACAUCAUAGAGGGUGAGAAUCCCGUAUUUAGGUUAUUCAUUCUAGCUUUGUGAUACACUUUCAAAGAGUCGGAUUGUUUGGGAAUGCAGUCCAAAAUGGGUGGUAAAUUUCAUCUAAAGCUAAAUAUUGGCGAGAGACCGAUAGCGAACAAGUACCGUGAGGGAAAGAUGAAAAGAACUUUGAAAAGAGAGUUAAACAGUACGUGAAAUUGUCAAAAGGGAAGCGUUUGACACCAGUGUUGUUUUUCCGAAAAUCAAUUACAAAUGGCUUGAUUCUGUGUUGUAUUGACCUUAUCAGCUUUCUGCACUUUUUUCGAGUCUUUCUUAAUGCACUUUUCGGUUAACAAGUCAACAUCAAUUUCUUUUGUUGUAAAAGAGUAUUCGGAAGGUGGCUUUCUUUUCGGAGAAAGUGUUUAUAGCCCUAUACUUCUACAAUCGGAGAGAUUGAGGUCUGCAGCGUAGAUCCUUCGGGGUUAGAUACACUUGUGCUAAGUUGUAGCUUUUCAUAGACAACUUGUUGACUAUGUUUAGUCAUGCGGCUUACUCGCUUGUACUAUUUUACCUACGCUUAGGAUGUUGACUGAUAUGUAGUCGUA